rnacentral:rRNA from 1 species
GAUGAACGCUGGCGGCGUGCCUAAUACAUGCAAGUCGAACGAGUGGCGGACGGGUGAGUAAUAUCUGGGUAACUGCCCGAUGGAGGUGGAUAACUACUGGAAACGGUAGCUAAUACCGCAUCCUAUCGGAUGUGCCCAGAUGGGAUUAGCUUGUAGGUGAGGUAAUGGCUCACAUAGGCGACGAUCCCUAGCUGGUCUGAGAGGCUGACCAGCCACACUGGAACUGAGACACGGUCCAGACUCCUACGGGAGGCAGCAGUGGGGAAUAUUGGACAAUGGGCGCAAGCCUGAUGCAGCCAUUCCGCGUGUAUGAAGAAGGCCUUCGGGUUGUAAAGUACUUUCAGCGGGGAGGCGUUACCCGCAGAAGAAGCACCGGCUAACUCCGUGCCAGCAGCCGCGGUAAUAC